UUGAACGCUGGCGGCAGGCCUAACACAUGCAAGUCGAGCGGUAACAUUUCUAGCUUGCUAGAAGAUGACGAGCGGCGGACGGGUGAGUAACGCGUAGAAAUCUACCUAGUAGUGGGGGAUAGCCCAGAGAAAUUUGGAUUAAUACCGCAUACGCCCUACGGGGGAAAGCGGGGGAUCUUCGGACCUCGUGCUAUUAGAUGAGUCUGCGUCGGAUUAGCUUGUUGGUGAGGUAAUGGCUCACCAAGGCGACGAUCCGUAGCUGGUCUGAGAGGAUGACCAGCCACACUGGAACUGAGACACGGUCCAGACUCCUACGGGAGGCAGCAGUGGGGAAUAUUGCACAAUGGGGGAAACCCUGAUGCAGCCAUGCCGCGUGUGUGAAGAAGGCCUUAGGGUUGUAAAGCACUUUCAGCAGUGAGGAAAGGGGUGUCGUUAAUAGCGCCAUCCUGUGACGUUAACUGCAGAAGAAGGACCGGCUAACUCCGUG
rnacentral:rRNA from 1 species